rnacentral:rRNA from 1 species
UGGGGAAUUUUGGACAAUGGGGGCAACCCUGAUCCAGCAAUGCCGCGUGUGUGAAGAAGGCCUUCGGGUUGUAAAGCACUUUUGUCCGGGAAGAAAUCGCACCUGAUAAUACCGGGUGUGGAUGACGGUACCGGAAGAAUAAGGACCGGCUAACUACGUGCCAGCAGCCGCGGUAAUACGUAGGGUCCAAGCGUUAAUCGGAAUUACUGGGCGUAAAGCGUGCGCAGGCGGUUGUGCAAGACCGAUGUGAAAUCCCCGGGCUUAACCUGGGAAUUGCAUUGGUGACUGCACGGCUAGAGUGUGUCAGAGGAAGGUAGAAUUCCACGUGUAGCAGUGAAAUGCGUAGAGAUGUGGAGGAAUACCGAUGGCGAAGGCAGCCCCCUGGGAUAACACUGACGCUCAUGCACGAAAGCGUGGGGAGCAAACAGG